UCUUAGUAGUUUGUUGUUUAAUUUAACGCUUGUAUUAUAUAUUUAAACACGUUUUAACGUCUUUUAACAAAUAUUCUUAUUAUUAUAUAAAAAACUUUUUAACGGCUUCGCAAUUUCUCUCCUCGAGCACCUUCUCCUCGAGGUCGGGCGUGCAGCUGGCGGGCGGCGCCAGGCGCAGCUGCGCGCACGGCGCCGCGCCCGCGCUCGACCCGUCCCAGUCGCCCAGCUCCGACUGGAGCAGGUAGCUGGCUAGGAGUGCGUGCGUCACCGCCGAGCAGGGGAGGCGACCUGAACAAAUAAAAAUCGCCUAUAAUUAGACCUCUAACUCCAACUCAACUAGAUGCUCGCUCACCAUCCAGCAGAUCCUUCCUUACGGCCAGCACGAGCUGGUACCUGGUGAGUUCCUCCUGCAACUGCGCCGGCUCCGGCGGGUAGAAUUUCACCGCGAAACGCACGUACCACGGC